CUAGUUUGUAGAGUAGGAUAUCAUUUUGAAGGGCACUUCCAGCUGCUCUACAAGAAUCACUCAAUGUGUAAGUUGUUUUCAGGUGAAGACCUGAACAAUCUUGCAUUCCUACCACAUACAUAGGUCAUUGCAUGCUGUCAUUGUAUCACAGUACAUUCGUACACCAAAAUGCCACGAACACCAGGGAUUUGUCAAAAAGAGGAAAGGUUUCAAUGGAACCAGGUGGGAUGGUGUCAAAAGAGCCAAAGAAGAUGAUACUACAGUUCCUCUACAAGAGACAGCUUCAGAAAGGAAGCUAAAGCUCAACAAUUCCCCUGCAGCCCCAAAACACAGCCCUGUCCCACCCAUAAGGAAACGCGUCAUGUUUUGGAGGGCUAUUACUUGAUCAGUGGGCCUCUCCUGACAUCUGCCAUAAAAGAAGCUCAUGUAUGCCCAGGAGGACACCUAAUUCCACUGGAGGAUGCAUCAAAACGGAAUGGCUUACGAUCAUUCCUCAUCCUACAGUGUUCUGUCUGUAAGGCAGAGCACUCAUUCCUGACCUCUGAAAAUAUCUUCAAGGGAAAAAGGCCAGGGACCUGUUCCGAUAUUAACAGAAGGGCAGUAAUGGCAGCAUCAGAGGUUGGACUGGGCAGAGUGGGACUUGCUGAUUUCACCAGUAUACUUGGACUUUAUGCCACCAGUUCAGCAGAGCUACCAGCGCCAGUUGAAAAACAUAGCAAAGGCUACAAAAACGGCUGCCGAAGACCAAAUGAAGGAGGCCGCACAGCGCCUGAGGGACAAGGCUAGGGAGAAGGACCCCUCCAUCGGAUCUGACGAUAUUGUUGAUGUGGCAGUGUCAUUCGAUGGUACAUGGCAUAGGCGUGGGCACUCGUCGA